GACGAACGCUGGCGGCGUGCCUAAUACAUGCAAGUUGAGCGCUGAAGGUUGGUACUUGUACCAACUGGAUGAGCAGCGAACGGGUGAGUAACGCGUGGGGAAUCUGCCUUUGAGCGGGGGACAACAUUUGGAAACGAAUGCUAAUACCGCAUAAAAACUUUAAACACAAGGUUUAAGGUUGAAAGAUGCAAUUGCAUCACUCAAAGAUGAUCCCGCGUUGUAUUAGCUAGUUGGUGAGGUAAAGGCUCACCAAGGCGAUGAUACAUAGCCGACCUGAGAGGGUGAUCGGCCACAUUGGGACUGAGACACGGCCCAAACUCCUACGGGAGGCCGCAGUAGGGAAUCUUCGGCAAUAGACGAAAGUCUGACCGAGCAACGCCGCGUGAGUGAAGAAGGUUUUCGGAUCGUAAAACUCUGUUGGUAGAGAAGAACGUUGGUGAGAGUGGAAAGCUCAUCAAGUGACGGUAACUACCCAGAAAGGGACGGCUAACUACGUG
rnacentral:rRNA from 1 species